rnacentral:rRNA from 1 species
UACGGAAGGCAGCAGUGGGGAAUAUUGCACAAUGGGCGAAAGCCUGAUGCAGCUAUGCCGCGUGUAUGAAGAAGGCCUUAGGGUUGUAAAGUACUUUCAUCGGGGAGGAAAAACAAAACUAAUAAUUUUAUUUCUUGACGUUACCCGAAAAAGAAGCACCGGCUAACUCCGUGCCAGCAGCCGCGGUAAUACGGAGGGUGCUAGCGUUAAUCAGAAUUACUGGGCGUAAAGAGCACGUAGGUGGUUUUUUAAGUCAGAUGUGAAAUCCCUGGGCUUAACCUAGGAACUGCAUUUGAAACUGAAAUACUAGAGUAUCGUAGAGGGAGGUAGAAUUCUAGGUGUAGCGGUGAAAUGCGUAGAUAUCUGGAGGAAUACCUGUGGCGAAAGCGGCCUCCUAAACGAAUACUGACACUGAGGUGCGAAAGCGUGGGGAGCAAACAGGGAUUAGAUACC